UACGAAGGUGGCAAGCGUUGUUCGGAUUCACUGGGCGUACAGGGUGUGUAGGCGGUUUGGUAAGCCUUCUGUUAAAGCUUCGGGCCCAACCCGGAAAGCGCAGAGGGUACUGCCAGGCUAGAGGGCGGGAGAGGAGCGCGGAAUUCCCGGUGUAGCGGUGAAAUGCGUAGAGAUCGGGAGGAACACCUGUGGCGAAGGCGGCCGACUGGGCCGACCCUGACGCUGAGGCGCGAAGGCGUGGGGAGCGAACGGG
rnacentral:rRNA from 1 species